GACGAACGCUGGCGGCGUGCUUAACACAUGCAAGUCGAACGGUAAACUCCGGUUGUGGGGGGGUCCUCGGGUGACGAACGGGUGACUAACACGUGAGUUACCUUCACUUCAGGGUUAGAUAACUUCAGUAAACUGGGGCUACUACCGUAUAGGAUCUCCUGCUGCAUGGUGGGGGGUGGAAAGUUUCGGCGGUUGGGGAUGGACUCGCGGCUUAUCAGCUUGUUGGUGGGGUAGUGGCUUACCAAGGCGUUGACGGGUAGCCGGCCUGAGAGGGUGACCGGCCACAUUGGGACUGAGAUACGGCCCAGACUCCUACGGGAGGCAGCAGUGGGGAAUAUUGCACAAUGGGCGGAAGCCUGAUGCAGCAACGCCGCGUGCGGGAUGACGGCCUUCGGGUUGUAAACCGCUUUCGCCUGUGACGAAGCGUGAGUGACGGUAAUGGGUAAAGAAGCACCGGCUAACUACGUG
rnacentral:rRNA from 1 species